rnacentral:misc_RNA from 1 species
ACAAAGGUAUGUUUUGUUUUUAUUGUUCUACUUAUGAAUGUCUCUCACUUAAAUGCACAAAGAGGUACACUAUGCUGCUUAUUUAGAUUUGGAGUAUAAAUUGGAGUUUAGCAUUCUCUGUAACCAGUAUUCAGGAAUUUAUAACCUAGUUUUGAGUUUUACAUGUGAAUGCUGUAAUUUAGUACAUAUAUUCAUUAGUAUCAUAUAUGAAAUUAUGACCUAGAGUGUUCAAUUCUGCAAAUAUUAGUUACGAUGCCUUUGAAUGAGAGGCCUUCGUCAGAUGCAGGAGUGUCUGUGCAGCAAACUGCGGACUGGGUUAAGAUGGUUCAUUUUGUUUGAUUUUUGUGUGAUAGGUGUCCAUCUCAUGAUAUGGUGUUAGUCUACCUGUUUCUCAUCUAUGUUGGGCAUGAGUAUUUGUUUCAGAUAAUUUAAUCAUAAUGUUGGUGUGAUGACUGAUGAGUAUUAGUUCCAAGAUUUGGUCUUGGUCUGCCUUGUUUUCAUCUAUAUUUGUCACUCAAAUUGGCAUGCAUGCCCGGGGUAAGUACAAAUAAGGUUUUUGUCACUAAAUCCCUGUAAUACAUUGGCAGUUUAAAUAAAUUAAUAAAAUCUGGUACAGUGAUGCAGCCUUAAUAUUUCAGUGGGGACAUUAGUAGGCAAUAUAUUUUAUUCGUGUUGGAAAGCUAUGCAACAAAUAUUAAGCGAAAGAAGUAGUUUAUGGAAAUUCAUAGUGACAUGGGAUGAGUUUCAUCUCACUUUUGUUCGGUGUAUAUAAGGUUGUCAAAGGAUGCUGGCAUUUUUGCAUAUACCCUUUUGUUUCUUUGUCAUUUAUUUCUUGUAUGUUGCAAUGUGGCUUCAAGCUAGUUUUCUAUAUUUUAAAGCUCAUUUUAAGUGUAUCCGUGUAUCCAUUUUGGGAAACUAAUGGUAAAUAUUAGGUAGUAUUUCAAACUCCAUGGUUCUUUUUUUACUAUACAUAUCGUUGCGAUAAAUUUUUCAUGUUAAUGGUUUCAAGGCUAGCCUUUUUGCUAGAAUAACAUGAAUAUCUAGUUUCUGUUGU